rnacentral:rRNA from 1 species
CCAAGGAGUCUAACACGUGCGCAAGUCGUAGGGUUUUCCACAAAGCCCGAAGGCGCAAUGAAAGUGAACCUUGGGCGGGAUCCCGUCACCCUUUUUUCCCUUUUUAACUUCUAACGGGGGGUAAAAAGGUGUGCGGGCGCACCGCCGGCCCGUCUCGUUCGGUCGGCUCGAUCUUUCCUUUCCUUUUCGGAGGUUGGGGAUCCGGGUCGACGGAGGCGGAGCGAGAGCGUAUACGUUAGGACCCGAAAGACGGUGAACUAUUCCCGGACAGGACGAAGCCGGAGGAAACUCCGGUGGAGGUCCGCAGCGAUUCUGACGUGCAAAUCGAUCGUCGGAUCCGGGUAUA